rnacentral:misc_RNA from 1 species
GUUAAGACCAAUAUUUUUCUCCAUAUAUAAUUCAAUCACUUAAAAAACACGCUUAUCUAACAGCAAGAAUGUAGUUUCUUAGGCUUUUGAUGCAUCUUAGAUAAGGAAAAUAAGCUCGAAAAUUAAAUUUGAAGAAUACAAGUCUGAACACAAAAAAAAAAAAAAAACUUGCUUUUAAUCACACGUAGCCAGUGAUAUCUCUUAAAAAACUCUUCAAUCAUGGUUGGCUAUAUUCCUCGCCAAAUUUACUUGUUUCUGCACCAUUAUUUGCGUGUUAACUUAACAUUAGCCUUUUGAUGCUCCACCAAAUUCUUCUAAGAGACGCUCGAUGGUCUUUCUUGAUGUGAUCUUGUCAAUCUCAAAUACCUUCAUGUCAUCUUUGAGACCUGGGUUAUGGAGAACUUUGAGUGGUAAGUGUGAGGCAUUUGAAUUUAAGAACAUGAGUAGAUUCUUCAUAAGCUCCACAGAUUCAGCAGUGACCAAUAUCUCUCUCUUGAAGUUCUUCUGUGAAUCAUAAUACCCAGAUACAAUCAUGAGUAGCUGAAGUUUCUCCAACUGCUGGAAAUAUUUGAUUUCUUCAGUUGAAGUAGCGUCAUGAGCAAGAAGUUGCUCAAUUGAUAUGCCAAUAGAACUCAUCCCAAUAUAUGACAUCACUGAUCUUGAACCAACACUAUCUAGCUUGCCUACUCUUGUCCACUUCUUAAAAUCCUUCCGCAAUAUGUCAACUACUGUGAGAUCAGAGACAUCACACAUUUUGUAUCUCAAUAGUUGGUAAAGACCAUUGCAUCCAAAGCGACCAGCACCAUUGACCAACAAUGUAGCCAUGUAUUUGUCUUUAGUUGUACAAUGUGGACCAGUGAGGUUUCCAGUAUCCAAGAGGAUGCCUGCCAACAAAAGUCUACUGAAUCCUUGUGCAGCCAAAAUCUCCGGAGAAGUCAGAGCAAACUUUUCUGCAAUGAGGGUGCAGCAAGAGUCCUGCCCCAAAGUAGCAUUCUCAACCCCAGGAUACACAGAUUCACCCUUUCUGCAAUUGAAAAUUUCAACUACUGCUCCCUUUAAUGCCUCUUGUUUGGCUGGGAGCUUGUGCCCAUUUAGCAGAACCAGCCUAAGACUCCCAAACAGAUCAUAAUAUGACAGGUCAAUCUCAUCUACAAAAAUUAGAGAUGACUCAUCAAUUUGGCAUGAAUCCAGCAACCAUUUCAGUUCAGAAUGAGAGCUUAGGUCUGCCCUUUUCAUAUUGAUAACAGGUACAGUGCAUAACUGGUCACUUUCAAGAGUUUCAUUCAAAUAGAAGGCAUACAUGAUGGUUGAAGCUAUGGAUCCAACAUCAGAGACAUAUUGCCCAAUGACAGCAUGCAAGAAUCUUCCAGGAACACCAGCACUUACAUCAUCUCUUCUGGCUUUCAAGUACAAAUUCAGCCUAUUAAUGCUUUCAGAUGAUUCCACAAUUUCAACUAGGGGGGACAACACAUUAUAAAAGAAUGCCGCAGACUGAGGAAGUGGUAUCAUUAACAGGUUUUGUUUCCUUUGGUUCAGGCUAUAGGAUUUUUCUAUUAUAGGUCUCGAUAGUGUAGAUAAAAUAUGACACUCUUCAGUUGCUUCAGAGGCUUUUGGGCUAUAUUCUUCCAUUGACUUACAUGUAUCACCUAACUCUAACCUCAAAUCAGCUUGAAUAUUUGGGAAUCCGAAUGAAGUUGCUUUAGCAAUCUUUGACAACCUCCCAAAUGUAGACUGCCCUAUGGGAUUCAGAACAACAUCUGAGAAUGAGUCAUCCAUCGAUUCCAUGGACUUAUCAGAUAUAUCUUGAACAAAACUUUUACUUCUUGAAUCACUAAUAUCAGAUGUGGUCCGAGAAAUAUUCCGGCUUUCAUCGUUUCCUUGAAAGCCCAAGGUAGAACUCUGAUCCCUUGAGGCAUUAUCAUCUCUUAAUAGACCAUCAAAGUAUGGAUUCUCUCUGGUACGGAUAUAUGGUUCCUGAAGGGGGAUUCCUCUGGGAGACCUCAUCAUGUUGUUCUAGUUGGAGUUGGAUGG